GGUCGUUUCCCAUAGUGGUUAUUGGGUCGGUCUUAAGAACCGAUGCGAGUCAUCGCGCGAGGGUUCGAACCCCUCAACGACCA
rfam:Saitoella complicata NRRL Y-17804 DNA, contig: contig060, whole genome shotgun sequence.